GACACUAUAGCUUAGUGGUUGAGCAUACGAUUGCAAUGAGAAAACCCGAAUUCAAUGUAUCGUGAGGUCCCGUGUUCGAACCACGGUAGUGUCU